AUUGCCCCUCGCCCCUCCCCUUUCAUUUCUCUUUCAUUUUCUCUAUCGGAUUUCAAUUUCAGAAAUAAAAAAUCAUUUUUAAUUUUUUAAUACCUUUUAUCAAAGCAUCUGAUUCUGUUAGGUUCUGUUCUGAUUGAUUAUUAGAAGUUUGGGUUAUACGGAUUGGCUCUUGGUAAUUUUUAAUUACCUUUUUUUUUUGUAUUGAUAUUAUUGUAGGCGAUUUGCGAUCCUUCGUUGGUUUUCUGUUUUAUAUAUUUGUUGCGUGUUGAAUAAUAUAUAUAAUUAUAUAUAUAUAGUUGAUUAUUUAGGUAUUAUUGCUGAUAAUCCCGGUACUUGGUACUUGUCAUUGAUGCGGAAUUUUCAUUUUUAUUUUUAUUUUUAUUUAUUUAUUUUGUUUCUAAUCAAUAUUUUGCGUUCAAGUUUGAAGUGGGGCUAUGGAGUAUACCUUGCAAAUGAUUUUUUAGGUUGUGUGAGGGAGAGGUAUUUUUGUCUAGGUAGAUCUUUUUGCCUGAGUACUGUAAUGAAUCAGAGUUGAGUUUUUCUGAUAACAUUGUUGAAUGUUUCUCAAUUUUUUUAUGGUCCUUUUGUAUUUGGCUGGUCAGAGUGGUGAUUGUUGAAUUGUCUUUUACAGUUAAUGCCGGGACAAACAAAACUGUUUCCAGUAGUACUUCCUUGAAUACUAAGACACAGGGUGAAAACUUUUCUCACAAAAGAUCAAAGCAAAAGAAGACCAAGUGUGAUACAGGGAAGUGUUGGUGAGUACUGCUUUCACCAUUGUAAAGCAGCAUCUGUUGUGAUUGUUCCUGUAAAAGUUCUUUGAUUCACAGAUGCCGGAGAUGCCUCAAUCGUCUAGUGGAAUUAUGUUUUAAACAAUGUAGUUCCUUUCAGUACUAGAAAGACUAUUGGUGGAUCACCUGAAGGCAUUGCUCCAUUUCUACCGUUGUCACGUAUUAGUGAGACUACUAUUAAGAAGGUGAUCCAAAAGUGAAGAAGAGAAAAACAAUGUCAAAGCUUGAAACUUCCAAGUAUGAGGAGCAGAGGAUGCAAAAAAUUGCAGAAAAUAGAGCAAGAUUAGAGGCUCUUGGGUUGUCCCAAAUCUCCUCCAUUUUUAAGGGUCUGAUUCAAAAUUCUAAGAAGAGAGAUAAAGAGAAAGUUGAAAAGGAUGAUGAAGACUACAUACUUGAAGAUGAAGAAGAACUUGGAUCAAAUUUUUCUAGUGAGGAUAACAACGAUAAUGAUUUUAGUGUUGAAAAUGCUUUUGGGUCACGAAAAAGAAAGGCAAGUGUUGAAUUUUUUUUUCAUUGUAAUUCUAAUAUGCAUUAUUUUGUUAUCAAAUUAUAAUAGAUUGUAUUAGAGUAAUUUAGUUUGUUAAUCAUUUAAGUCAAUAACAUAUGCAUUUAGGAAAAACUUUUCUUAUCAAAUAUUACUAAUCCCUAAAAUUUAUAGU